rnacentral:lncRNA from 10 species
UUUUUAAAAAACCAACAUGAAUAAUAUAUAAUGGCUGACAUUUUGGAGGAAGCAGGAUCUUUGCCUUCUUCUAUCUUCCAUCAGUGGACUGGGAGUGACCAACAAUCAGGAACUGUGUUCUGCUCAACUCUGCAAUCCCAGCAAAGGACCUGCCACAGACCUCCGUAUAAAAUUGUCCAAUGGAUGACACAACUGAAAACAGGGAGAUUGUAUGGGUAUGUGGCCUGGGAUGGCAGCAGAUGUACCCACCCCCUGCCUAGCAAAGUCUUCUGGAUGUCUGCUUUGAGGGUGAGCAGCAUCAAUGCCUUUCAGUUCAUCUG